GUGAUCAGCACUGAACACAGACACUCACCAUGGAGUCUGGGCUGCGCUGGGUUUUCCUUGUUGCUCUGUUACAAGGUGUCCAGUGUGAGGUGCAGCUGGUGGAGUCUGGGGGAGGCUUGGUCCAGCCUGGGGGGUCCCUGAGACUCUCCUGUGCAGCCUCCGGAUUCACCUUCAGCAGCUACGCAAUGAGCUGGGUCCGCCAGGCUCCAGGGAAGGGACUGGAGUGGGUUGGUUUUAUUAGAAACCAGGCUAAUGGUGGCACAGCAGAAUAUGCUGCAUCUGUGAAAGGCAGAUUCACCAUGUCACGGGAUGAUUCCAAAAGCACCGUCUCUCUGCAAAUGAACAGUCUGAGAGCCGAGGACACGGCCCUGUACUACUGUGCCAGUGACACAGUGAGGGGACAUCAGUGUGAGCCCAGA